rnacentral:tRNA from 1 species
UGAGAAUGUACUUUAGUGGGUAGAGUACUUGCCUACCAUGCAUGAGGCCCUGGGUUUGAUUCCCAGCACUUCAA